CGGAUUAAUACCGUAUGCUGUCAUUAAGAGGCAUUUUUUGAUGACGAAGGACUGGCGGUAUGGGAUGGGGAUGCGUCUGAUUAGCUUGUUGGCGGGGGUUAAACGGCCCCACCAAGGCGACGAUCAGUAGGGGUUCUGAGAGGAAGGUCCCCCACAUUGGAACUGAGACACGGUCCAAACUCCUACGGGAGGCAGCAGUGAGGAAUAUUGGUCAAUGGGCGGAAGCCUGAACCAGCCAAGUAGCGUGAGGGAUGACUGCCCUAUGGGUUGUAAACCCUCUUUUAUAAGGGAAUAAAAUACGGGACGUGUCCUGUUUUGCAUGUACCUUAUGAAUAAGGACCGGCUAAUUCCGUG
rnacentral:rRNA from 1 species